rnacentral:lncRNA from 1 species
AGGAUUGGUUUGUGGGUCUAACUUGUCCAUCAACACAGAUUCGCCUCGUUCUCUGCUGAUAUGUAGGGCUAAACGUGUAGAGGCAGAGCUGUAAAUCAAAAUCGAAAGAGAGGUAAGUAGCUUUGUAUUCCUCAAGCUUCAUUUCCGUUGUUUGAAUCCACAUGCAGAAUGUUAGGGAGUUCUGGAAGAGCUUCAACAAAUCCCAGACAACACUAUUUUCUCGAAAACCCCCUUCAUCUCUUAG